AUGGAGGGUUGGUUAACCUUAUGUUUCAUAGCCCUAUCCACGUUGCUGGCCCUUUGGUUCUCCGGCGGCAAGAGCAAGCCCAGGAAGCACCUGCACCUGCCUCCCGGGCCAUGGACUCUCCCGAUCAUCGGCAGCCUCCACCACGUCGUCCUCGGCACGCUCCCUCACCGCACCAUCACCGAUCUGUGUCGCCGGCACGGGCCACUGAUGCUCCUCAAGCUAGGCGAGGUCCCCACGGUGGUGGUCUCCAGCGCCGAGGCGGCGGCGGAGGUGAUGAAGACCAACGGCGUCGCCUUCUCCAACCGGCAGACCACCGAGCUGCAGGAGAUCAUGGGCUUCGGCGGCAAGGGCAUCAUCUUCGCCCCCUACGGCGACCACUGGCGCCAGAUGCGCAAGGUCUGCAUCGUGGAGCUCCUCAGCUCCAAGCAGGUGAAGCGCAUGGAGCGCGUCAGGGCCGAGGAGGUGGGCGGCCUCCUCCGCUCCGUCAUCGCGGCCACGGCCGCCGGCGCCGCCGCCAACCUCAGCGAGAUGUUCGCGGCGCUUGGCAACAAUGUGGUGGCGCGGGCGGCGUUCGGCGGCAAGUUCGCGCGGCAGGAGGAGUUCCUCCGCGCCAUGGACCAGAUCAUGGACCUGCUGGGGGGCUUCUGCCUGGUCGACCUCUUCCCGUCGUCCCGGCUGGCGCGGGGGCUCAGCAAUGGCGAGUGCCGCGUAAAGAGGAUCCGGGACCUCAUUGAGAACAUCAUCACCGAGAUCCUUGACGAGCGCAAGGCGCCGCGAGCAGCCGGUCAUGGCGCAUGCAGCACCGACGAUGAGGACCUGCUGGACGUGCUGCUCAGGCUGCAGGAGGAGGACUCGGCGUACCCUCUAACCACAGAGAUUAUAGUCACUGUCUUGUUGGACAUGUUUGCAGCUGCUUCAGAGACUACAGGAACCGCUUUGGAGUGGGCCAUGUCAGAACUCACAAGUCAUCCUGAAGUUAUGGCUAAGGCACAAUUAGAGGUUCGAGAGGUACUAGGUCAAGGCCGAGCUAUCAUUAGCAAUAGCGAUCUUGCAGAACUCCACUACAUGCAGAUGAUCAUCAAGGAGGUUCUUAGAUUACAUCCACCCGCCGCUUUACUCCCUCGCAAGACCAGAGAAGACUGCAAAAUUAUGGGUUAG
rnacentral:rRNA from 1 species